GAGGGAGGCCCAAGGAGGCACCAGUGACUGGGGCAUCGCUCUCUGCCUCCUCAGCUGCAACAUCAGGGAGCCCAUCUGGAAAAUCCCCAGGAUCCCUUCCAGCUGUGCAAUCUAUAGCCUUCCGACAAAUUUCACAUAAUAAGCCAGGCAGCCCCAUAGCUGUGUGUCUUUCCUCAUUUGUCUCCCAGCAGGCACUUGGAGCUUCAAGAAGACCCCCUUCCUGCUAUGGGCAACCUGGUGGUCUGUGGUGUGGUCCUGUGUGGUCUUGGAGCAGGCACAGUGGAUGGUGGAAUCAGUCAAACCCCAAAAUACCUGUGCAGCAAGGAGGGACAAGAUGUGACCCUGCGUUGUGAACAGAAUUUUAAUUAUGAUUCCAUGUACUGGUACCGGCAGGAUCCAGGGCAAGGGCUGAGACUCGUCUACUACUCGAUGGUUGAAAAUGAUGUUCAGAAAGGAGACCUCCACAAAGGCUACAAUGCCUCUCGGAAGAAGAAAGAAUCCUUUUCUCUCAUUGUGACAUCAACACAAAAGGACCAGACAGCUCUGUAUCUCUGUGCCAGCAGUGUAGACACAGUGCAGCUCAACCACCUGCAUGCUGCGCAUAAACGUGUCCCCAGCCUUGCUUCCCCACCAGGUGGCAGGGCUUUUCUGCAUUCAGGACCCUGA